GAGGAAGAGGAAGAGGAAGAGGAAGAGGAGAAGAAGAAGAAAAUAGAAAGAGCAGUGAAAAAGAAAUCAGGAAAAUUGUUGGGCUUGUGGGUUUGUAAAUUAUGGGUGUUGGUGAUACGUGAUGGCGGUGGAGGUGGUGGAGGUUGUGACAUGUUAGUUAAGAAUGUUACUGUCACAGUCCAAUCCCAGCAGCAGCAGCUGGAGCAGCAAUAGGUUUUCCAUCCUGAGAAGAAGAAAAGGACGAGGAGGAGUUGUUUUGAGGUGGGGAAUGGAGGGGAAUUUGUGAUCAGAUAUUCUGCUUUACAUUCC
rnacentral:misc_RNA from 1 species